GCGAACAGAUGCAGCAGGAGACAGCAGUGUGGUUGAAUCUUUGUAGGUUUAACUCGUGAAUCAAAAUCCGCAGGGACAUCUUUGCUGGCUCAGGCCAGACAGUGUGCAGGGUACUUUUCAAGCCAGUCGCUGAGCAACGGUAUUUAGGAAAAUAAAGGUAGGUAAAUCAUUGCUAAUCUACAUUAUGAUUGGACUGUUGCAAACCAAUUGUUAUUUGCAAAAUGCAAGGGGCCUGAUCAAGCUCCCACUGAAAUCAACGGGGAGUCUUUCCACUGAUCGAAAUGGAACUUGGAUUGGGCCCUGAAUGCACUUAAGUCCAUUUCACAGGUUAACUUGUAUUUGCCAAAGCUCUCUGGGGCAAGGGCUGUCUUGUUAGCUGUGUUUGUACAGCACGUGGCAUGAUGGAGAACCAGAUUUCACUGGAGCUGCUGGGCAUUAACUUACGUGUAUAUUUAUUAAUAAAAAUAAUUAAUGAUUGAAGACAUUGGUGGGGUAUAAACUGGAGGUAGGAGAGGACUGUUCAUCCCAGAAGUUGGUGCCGUUUGAGGCAGAUUUCUAAAUGUGAAACAUCCUGAGAUGAUUGUAAAUGAUUGUUGUGUCUUUGAUUAGUGGCAGCCUGUGGGCCAAGCUUCUGCCUAAUGGGAACUGAAGUGGUGGAGAUUAUUAAUCCCAGGAAAAAAGGACUUUCUAGUGAAAACCCUUGGGGACCCUUCAAUCAAGGGGAAAAUCAGGAGUAAAUCUAUUGAAGUCAAUGAAAUUACACUGGUGUAAGCAUGACCAGGAAGCUGGACAGUAGGCCAGAGUUGCAGCCCUACUAAAUACCCAAGCAGUGUUUUGAGGCGAGCAGGGAAGUGGCUGCAUUUUUGGUGUGGUCCCUGAGCCAGCUGGAUAAACUAUCAGUGGCAGCCUCAGGAAGAGGCUCUAUGCUGGGGAAUGGGAGAGGGCUUAGCACCCUUUCCACCUGAACACCAGCAUUGGCUCUACUUGGAAACUCCCCACGAGGACACCAGAGGAGAGAGAAAACCAGCCUCCAAAGAUGCCAGAAGUGGAUAAGAGGCCACUAGUCCUUCCCUGCAAGAAGACAACACCAGGUAGGGCUGGAAGGAGGGGUGGGGGUAGAUUCAUGGGGGGUGAGCAAAGGGCAGCAUGACCUGGUGGGAUCCUGCACAGCUCUGAUAAGCAUCUGAACCCUGAACCUUUGGAGACUUCCCAGUCAUUAGAUCUAGUCCUUGGCUGUACUGAGACGGGUUUAGAAUGUGCGUUUCCCACUUCAUCUGUCUACUGCAUGGUGAGACUGGCUUGUUGCUUGGACAUGCCAAUGGGUUGUGAGUGUUUUUAUUUUGUCCCCCUUGGAGCCAUAGUGUAUAAAUCAGGCAGGCUUUGGGCACUCCAUGGGAUCCUGGUGGGAAACGUAAGGGUUUAUCUGUUGCCCCAGCUAUAACAAUAGCCAUUCUAUCCUUAACCCAAACUUGCUCUGGAGGCCCUACAUUCUGGUGUCAUAACAACACAUAGCCCUUACCAAGGUUCAAAGCCAGCACUCUGCUUUGAUUGGCAUGUGCAGGAUGCGGGACAGAGCUCCAUGGUUCAUCUGGGGAUGGUACCAGAGUGAUUAUAUCCCUGGCUCCUUCUGUCCUCCCCUGAUCUCCUGUGUGUCUCUGGAUGUCUUGUGUUGCGCUGUAGCUCUCCUCCACAAGCCGCAGUCAACAGAGGGGGCGGGCGUAGUAACUUGGUGCAAACAUGGUAGGUAUGGAAAUUGCAGUAUUUUGGAUGAGAAGUCAAUUGCUCAAGUGAUGCGUGGGAAUGUUUUGGGCCCUCAGACGAUCACAGAAAAUGGAAAGCCUGAGCAGGUGAAAAACGUGGCACAAAAUUCCAGAAAAAAAAAACUUUCCCCAGCUUCCCCCAGCCUUCACAUUUACAAUAGCUGCCAAUCCCCCCGGGAGUAGAAGUUGCCUACUUCUCUCUGCCUUGCGAGACUGAAAGGUAAAGUGAAAAGGAAGGGAGCUGUUUGAGAUCCCAAAUCAUACUGUAUGGCAACAUUAAAAAAAAGUAUUAAAAAACAAAAUAGUUGAGAGAAUCACUUCCUCUGCUCCUUGCCAUACAUGCCAAGACUUUGCUUUUCUCCGACAAUCAUUAAUCACACCUCUAAUAUGUCUGGGCCUGAUCCAUCCCUUAUUAAAAGCAAAGGAAAGAUUGCCUAUUGAAAACUGCCACUCAGAGUCGGACUGGGCUCGCUGAAAUCAGUGAUGAUCCUCCCACAUAGCACAACAUGCAGGAUCAGGGCU